CGACCGCCUGGAAUGAGAGGCGCCGGGACGGGGAGCUGGCUUAGGUGCCUGCGAGGCUGUCAGGGAGGGUGGUGCCCGUGGGGCUGCUUGGUCUGCACCCGCCCUGCUCUGGGCCCAGGAGGUCAGUCCCGAGGGGUGCCGUCCCCCAGCUUCCCACGUCAUGGAGUGGCAGUAGCUGGGCUCCUCGGGGGCUACAACUCCCGCCAGGCACACCUCCUAGCCAGCGGCUCCGGCACUCAUCAAGCAUUAGGAGUGCGGGGGCCCCACCCUGCUCCCUGCAGCCUGGCAGGUCGAGGGCCCGGCUCUCGUCCGUCCAGGGUGCCUCACCAGGUGUGGUGGGUGGAAGGGUGGCCUCCAAGGAUACGUCCCUGUGGAACCUGUGACUGUGACCUUUGGCAAAUAGGGUUUUUGUAGAUGUAAUGAAGUUAAAGGUCUCGAGAGGGAGUCGCCCUGGAUUGAGGUGUUCCCCGAUUCAAGCCUGGGUGCCCUGUGAGUUAGGGAGGGAGACUGCAGACACAGAAAGGGGCCAGGUGAAGACAGGCACAGGCUGGGGUGACGCAGCUUCGAGCCAGGGAUGGCCAGCAACCCCCAGGAGCUGGGCGGGGCAGGAGGGAUCCUCCCAGAGCCUCCAGAGGGAGCACAGCCCUGCCAAUGCCUUGAUCUUGGACGUCUGGCCUCCAGAGCUGUGAGAGCGCAUCCUUCAGUUGUUCUAACCCACCUGGUCUGUGGUAAGUUGCUACAGCAGCCCCAGGACACCAACACACCAGGUCUCACGGAGCCCCCUCACCUCUGUGCGUGGCCCUUGCAUGACCAUUCUCUCCAGUUGACACACAUUUUGGGGGUGUCAGGACCCCGGAUGAUAAAUGUUAGUAUGGUUCUAUUGUCUACAGUUAUAGGGUCUCCGGGGUACGAUCAGUCUCGGGGGGUAUUCUUCACAUUUUGAGGGGGGAUGGAAGCUGCACGGAAGCACUUGGGGCCCCGAGAUGUGUAACUAUUCCUGGCAGAGCUUGCAACAGUCUCACUAGAAAACCAGCAACACAGCACACUGCAGCUGCAUUUGAACAGUUCUGCUUAGACAUGUGCGGAGUAUUACGUGCCCAAGAAUAUUCACUGACGUAUCAUCUGUAUCAUUCACAGAGGAUACAUACUGCUGUCAACUCAGGCACCCAUAGCACUGGCUGGGUGGAUGGGCUGCAUCAUCCGCACAGUGGGGACACUUGCAGCUGUAAGAAAGAACCAGGAAGAUACACGUGGGAACGGAGAGAUCUCCAGGAUCAACUGGUAUUACAAGUAAACUUGCAUACAUAAAGCAAUCUCUGAAAAUUAGAAACAAACUGAGUUAAAUUAAACUAACUAUACAUCGAUGGUAAUAUAACUCCCAAGAAAAUAAUGAUUUCUCGUGACUGGGACAGCAUUUAGACGGAACCAAGAUUUUCAGUGUAAGAGAAAUGAGAUCAAGUAUAAAAUCAACAAAGGUUAGUAAAACCCUCCAGUGUUCAAUUUGGAUGAAAUGAUCAUGUGAAUCGGUGAAGUAACUUUGAGGUGGUCAGGAAGCACAUGCACUGAAGUGUCACUUCUUCGCUCUGCCCUGACAACAUCCAGUAGCGAUGGCAGCAGCCGCAGUGAGCACCUCUCGCGUCUGGACGUUGGUUUCUAAGUACCACUCCUCGCUAGAGGAAUGGCCCGUCCAGAUGUGAGGCAAGAAAUCAGCAAGACGAACCUGGGCUGUGCACUCAGGUCCCAACACAGGGACGUAGCAGAAGCACCCAGAACCAGCUGCCAGAGGAGCCCCCUGGCCAGAGGUCAAGACCCGUACUAGCUGCAGCUGAGCACCACACACCGAGCGUAUAAAAACCUGCACAGCCUUAGCCGUGAUGAGAAAGUGAAAAACGCAGUUCACUGACUGCUUUUGCAUUUACCCAGGUCCUCAUCUCUGCAAUCUGUGGAUAGUCACUUUCCCUGGCAAAAGGGGACUUUGCAGCCACGAUGAAGGUAAGGGUCUUGAGCUGGGAGGUGGUCCUGGAUAACCCAGGUGGGCCCUACGUGCCGUCACAGGGUCGUUACAGGCUCCUGACCUCCAGAAAAGUGCGAGGGUAAACGCCUGUCAUGUUACGCAAUUGUUACGGCAGCCGUAACACCUGGAUGCAGGUGGUGACACUGCCUGUUGCUGGCUCACCGGUUCUGCUCUGAGAAUCGGAAGUAAAGGUAGAGAAUGAAGCCUCAUUCUCGCCUUUUCUGUUGAGCUGCGUUAAUUUCAUGUUCCUGUUGAGUGGCUUAAAACAACACAGAUUCGUUAUCUUACAGUUCUGGGGGCCAGAAGCCAAAAGUCUGCGCUGCUGGGCUAAGGUCGGGGCGUGGGCAGGGCUGGCUGCUUCUGAAGGCUCCUGGACGCCUUUUCUGGCUCCGUCCGAGAGGCGCCUGUGCUCUCGGCCCCUCCCUCCGUCUUCAGAGUGGCAACGCGGCACCUUCCAGUCUGUCUCUCUCAGGCCUCUGCUGCAUCCUCAGGUCUCUGACUCUGGUCCUCUUGCAUCACUCUUCUAAGGGCCCCUCGAUUACUUGGGGGCCCCCCAGGACUAUCCAGGACAACCUCCCAUCUCAAGAUCCUUAACUUCUUCACAUCUGCAAAGUGCCCUUUGCCACAUACGCACAGAUUUGGGAGACUGGGACCUGGGUGGGCAUCUUUGCGUGGGCGUUGUUCUGACAGCUGCAGGCCUGCAUUUCAGCAUCAUCACAGGGCUCUUUUAUAUAGAAGCAUUCUAGCCGAGGACUGUACAAGGAAUGACAGGAUUGUAAAGCACCAUUUUAUACCGCCUAAUGAAGAAAUGAACUUGGCAAUGACCAUCAACAGAUGAUGAAACCAACAGAUGGGGGCUGGUGGAGAGCCGUGAUUUUGCAGACUGUUUGCCGGUCAUGACGGGGAGGAGCCAACUCCACGGUGACGGGAGAGGCCUGUGAGCACCGGAGCCCACUGGUCAGGCUCAGAUGGCUGUGCACGGGACAACCAGGCUCCUCGCCGCGGAAGGGCCCUUCAGGUCUGCAGCCCUGGUUACAGGAAGAGCAGAGAGCGAGAGACCAGAUACUCCGAGAGGAAGCGAUCGGACAGAUUCAGCACCGCGGACCCUGCGUUUGUGACAGGUCAGAGGUGGGGGGAAUAUUCUAGAUUAUGAGAGAUUCAAGAGAUGGCACAACCGAAUGCAACGUGGGGACCCUGGUUGGAUCCAGAUUUGAAAACCACACCAUCAAGAGACACUUGGAGAAUUAAGGGCAAUUAAAUGUAGACUCAGGGCCUCCAUGGUGGCGCAGUGGUUGAGAGUCCACCUGCUGAUGCAGGGGACGCGGGUUCGUGCCCCGGUCUGGGAAGAUCCCACAUGCCGCGGAGCGGCUGGGCCCGUGAGCCAUGGCCGCUGAGCCUGCGCGUCCGGAGCCUGUGCUCCGCAAUGGGAGAGGCCACAGCAGUGAGAGGCCCAUGUACCGCAAAAAAAAACAACAAAAAAACAAAUGACUCAUAUUGGAGAUCACGGAGGUGUGGCUGUCUGUCUCAGGUGCUGUCACGGUUGUAGCUAUGUGAGCAGAGGGCCUGGAGUUAGAACCACACGGCAGCAAAACAUGGAUGGAGCGACAUGGCAGCACGCUAGUAACUGUGAAACUGAAGUGGCAGGUGAGGGUACACCGUCUCUCUUACUUCUAGAUGUGCUUGGAAACGUUUGUGGUAAAUGGGGUGACACACUUCUGCUCAGAGGGGAACUGAUCGCCUCGUGGGACCAGUUGUCCUGCGAGCCCUGGGGGUGCUGGUGACGGGGCCGUGCUGCCCUGCCUGCUGCUCCUCUGGCCCAGCCCUGCCCCAUCACUGGGCUCCUACUGCAGCUCAGCCUUGACUUCUAUGAAGAAGCAGAAGCAAGAGAGGUUAAGAGACCUUGGCACGGCCCAGAGAAAGCACGGCUCAGGGAAACCGCCGGGUGACUGCCGGAGCCUGGAUCCAGCCAUGCCUGAAGACAGUGCAGCUUCUGCGAGAUGAGGAGAUUCUCUUCUUGUUUCAGUUGCCAGGGUCAGUGUAGUGGACAUCAGUAGGCUGUUUGGCUCUCCAGCACCUUCUGAAUUCCCUUCUUUAUCUUCCAGAACCGUGCUUUCUCGCCCUCCUCUACUGCCACCACCUGGUCAGGUGAUCUAGAACCUGCCAGUGGGACACACCUUCAUGAGUUUGAUUCAGAAGAGAGGCAGAGAGACCUUGUGCUUUGGCGCCUGCAGUGGCAGAAGGGAGAAGCCUGGGGCCCGGGGCCCGGGUGGUGACUCUGGAGCCUUGUCCCCUCCUGCGGUGCUGCUGUGAGAACAGAUGAGGAAACUGGACUUGGAAUGAAUGUUUUGGUGCCUCCACCGUGAACCCCUCACCCGCUGAAGGCAGAGCCGGGACCCUGUCUGCUCCGCCGCCCAGUCGGAGCCCCUGUGAUGGGGGGUCAGGUACCACCCGCGGUGUUUUUAGGGCAGAGAACAAACUUCCCUGUAGAUGAGCGGAUGCUCCCAGCUUCACCUUGAGCCAUGUAACACUUACGCGUCAAGAGGGGAAAACGUUCUGAUGCUCAGAGAGGUCCGACUGUCAGCCUAAGGGCACAAAGCUAGGAGGGCCCCGGGGGUUGGGGGGGCAGAAGGGGGCUUCCCGACUCCAGGAGACCCUCCCGUGGGCCUGUGUGUGGCUGGGCCUCAGGGCUUUGCUCCAGGACCUGAGGAUGAGGCAGAGGGAGGCCCUUGGGUCGGGUCUGCGGCUGUGUCCUGGGGGCCUCGGCCCUACCCCGUGGACCCGCCUCACCCUGCAGGGGUGCUGAGGGACGCUUCGCGGUGGCAGCAAGGGAGCGCAGGCUCGGAGCAGGCGAAGGGAGAACGACGUCUAAUUAACAUUUCAGAACAGGAACUGGAUCAUGCAAAUCCCCACCCCCACCUCUGCAGCUUCUGCUGAUGGCUCUUGAUUAAGCGCGAUAAAAUUAGCCUGGCUGUGCAGGGGGUGCAGCCAGCCCUGGGCCUGCGCCCGCCCGCCCCCACUGAGCCCAGCAGACGGUGUCCUGGGGCCCUGCCUUCCACCCGUCCCGAGGGGCCAUGUCAUAAUGUGUGACCCCGGGACAUUAGGCAAUCCACACACAUCCACGCCGUCGCCCCACAGCCCCGACAGUAAGCAGGCAGGGCCUCUAUGUGCUCUCCUGGCCUCCAGGGCCCGGGCCUGGCUGAGGCCGACUGGGGUGGAGGAGGGGCAGGGGCGACUCUGGGAAGAGGCAGCCGUUCCGAAAGCCCGGAGGGGCAUCUUCCUGAGGAACAGUCCCGGGAACCAGGCUGUGCCCACCUUUCCUUCAUCCAGGCGUGCAGGCAUCCCCUGGGAUGUGCCCCAAGGCACCUCCUUGGGUCACAUGCAAACUCCCUCCUGGGUCUCAGUGUAAUUCCCGGGCUGCCCCUUUUUCAGGCGUGUGUGCAGAUCCGGGGGUAUCUUGUUCAUCAUCUCCCCUCCCCUCGUGUGGACACCCCAGCGCAAACAGGUCAGGAAGGUGCACCGCACCCUCCUUUUCUCCGCCGCAUCGCUUCCUCACAGGCCAUCUAGGACCCGGCCUUUCUAGGGGAUCAGCGGGCGUUUGCAGGGCGGCUGGCGUGCAGAAGGGCAGACGAGGUUCAGGCUAGAAGCAGAGAGCCACACGAGGGUCAGGUCAGGGCCGACCAGGGCUCGUCAAAGCCAGAUCAGGGCUCGGGACAGUGGGCGGAAGUGGUCCCCCGCGGACGUGCCCUGCGGGAGCUCGGGUGUCAGGGCAGCCUCGGGGCCCCUCUCUGGAGCUGCGGAAACCCGGAAAGGCAGCGCUGCUCCAUCUCAGAAGGGGACGGGAGACACACUUGGGGUCUUGAAGGACAGAGGUGUGGUGCGAAGGUGGGCCCGCGGAAGGAGGAGAUGUGGGUUGGACUCUGUCUCACUGUGUGACCUCGGGUAGCCCGAAUUACCCCUCUCGGCCUCAGGUGUCUCUGGUGGAAAAAGGGAUAGCAGCUGUUUUCCUGACGGAGAAAAGCCUCUUAGGAAAUACACUCAGAAGCCUUUAGAUGUGAGGGCAUCACGCAUACUACUGAUUCCCAAGCAGCUCAGAAAGAAUUGUGUGGGCGCACCUACAGGGAGAAGCGGGCACACACGGCAUGGCGCCGACAGGGCCGGUGUGCGCAGCUCUCCUUUUUGUUUGCUGUAACUGGAGCACAGCUGGUUUACAAUGUGUGUUACUUUCAGGUGUAGAGCAAAGUGACUCAGUUAUACACAUAUAUAUGUAUAUUCUUUUUCAGAUUCUUUCCCCAUACAGGUUAUUAGAAAAUAUUGAGUAGAGUUCCCUGUGUCAUACAGUAGGUCCUUGUUCUUUAUCUAUUUUAUAUAUAGCAGUGUGUAAAUGUUAAUGCCAACCUCCUAAAUUAUCCCCCGGCCCUUUGGUAACCAUAAGUUUGUUUUCUAUGUCUACGAGCCUGUUUCUGUUUUGUAAAUAAGUUCAUUUGUAUCAUUUUUUUAGUUUCCACAUGUAAGUGAUAUAUGAUGAUUAUUUGUCUUUCUGUCUGACUUCACUUAGCAUGAUCAUCUCCAGGUCCAUCCAUGUUGCUGAAAAUGGCAUUAUUUCAUUCUUUUUUAUAGCUGAGUAAUAUUCCAUUGUAUAUGUGUACCACAUCUUCUUUAUCCACUCAUCUUUUGAUGGACAUUUAGGUUGCUUCCAUGUCUUGGCUAUUGUAAAUGGUGCUGCAGUGAACACUAGGGUGCAUGUAUCUUUUCAAAUUAUGGUUUUCUCCAGAUAAAUGCCCAGGAGUGGGAUUGCUGGGUCAUAUGGUAGUUCUAUAUUCAGUUUUUUAAGGAACCUCUGUACUGUUCUCCAUAGUGGCUGCACCAAUUUACCUUCCCACCAACAGUGCAAGAGGGUUCCCUUUUCUCCACACCCUCUCCAGCAUUUGUUGUUUGUAGAUUUUCUGGUGACUUCCAUUCUAACUGGUGUGAGGUGAUACUUCAUUGCAGUUUUGAUUUGCAUUUCUCUAAUUAGUGAUCUUGAACAUCUUUUCACGUGCCUUUUCGCCAUCUGUGUGUCUUCUUUGCAGAAAUUUCUACUUAGGUCUUCUGCCCAUUUUUUGAUUGGGUUUUCUUGAUAUUGAGCUGCAUGAGCUGUUUGUGUAUUUUGGAGAUGAAUCCCUUGUCAGUAGCUUCAUUUGAAAAUAUUUUCUCCCAUUCCAUAGGUUGUCUUUUCGUUUUAUGGUUUCCUUUGCUAUGCGAAAGCUCUUAAGUUUAAUUAGGUCCUAUGUGUUUAUUUUUGUUUUCAUUACGCUGGAAGAUGGAUCCAAAGAUGUAUUGCUGCGAUAUGUCAAAGGGUGUCCUCCCUAUGUUUUCCUCUAGGAGUUUUAUAGUAUCCGGUCUUAUGUUGAAGUCUUUAAUCCAUUUUGAAUUUAUUUUUUGUAUGGUGUUAGAGAAUGUUCUAAUUUCAUUCUUUUACAUGUAGCUGUACAGUUUCCCCAGCACUACUUAUUGAAGAGACUGUAUUUUCUCCAUUGUAUAUUCUUGCCUCGUUUGUCGUAGAUUAAUUGAACAUAGGUGUGUGGGUUUAUUUGUGGGCUUUCUAUCCUGUUCCAUUGAUCUACAUUUCUGUUUUUGUGCAAGUACCAUGCUGUUUUGAUUACUGUAGCUUUGUAGUAUAGUCUGAAGUCAGGGAGCCUGAUUCCUCCAGCUCCGUUUUUCUUUCUCAAGAUUGCUUUGGCUAUUCGGGGUCUUCUGUGUUUUCAUACAAAUUUUAAAACUUUUGGUACUAGUUCUGUGAAAAAUACCAUAGGUAAUUUGAUAGGGAUUUCACUGAGUCUGUAGAUUACCUUGGGUAGUAUAGUCAUUUUGACAAUAUUGAUUCUCCCAAUCCAUGAACUUGGUAUAUGCUUCCAUCUGUUUAUGUCAUCUUCUGUUUCUUUCAUCAGCAUCUUACAGUUUUUGGAGUACAGGUUUUUUUUUUUUUUUUCUCCUUAGGUAGGUUCAUUCCUGGGUAUUUUAUUCUUUUUGAUGCCAUGGUAAAUGGGAUUGUUUCCUUAAUUUCCCUUUCUGAUCUUCUGUUGUUAGUGUAUAGAAAUGCAACAGAUUUGUGUGUAGUAAUUUUGUAUCCUGCAACUUUACCAGAUUCACUGAUGAGCUCAAGUAGUUUUCUGGUAGCAUCUUUAGGAUUCUCAAUGAAUGUAUAGUGUAAUGUCAUCUGAAAAUGGUGACAGUUUUGCUUCUUUUCCAGUUUGGAUCCCUUUUAUUUCUUUUUCUUUUCCAAUUGCUGUGGCUAGGACUUCUAAAACUAUGCUGAAUAAAAGUGGUGAGAGUGGACAUCGCUGUUUGUUCUUUUUAAAUUUAUUUAUUUUUGGCUGCGUUGGGUCUUUGUUGCUGUGCGUGGGCUUUCUCUAGUUGAGGCAAGCAGGGGCUACUCUUGCUGUGGUGCAUGGGUUUCUCAUUGCGGUGAUUUCUCUUGCUGCGGAGCACAGGCUCUAGGCACACAGGCUUCAGUAGUUGUGGCACACCGGCUUAGUUGCUCCGCGGCAUAUGGGAUAUUCCCAGACCAGGACUUGAACCCAUGUCUACCGCAUUGGCAGGUGGAUUCUUAACCACUUCGCCACCAGGGAAGUCCCCUUGUCUUGUUCUUGAUCUUAGAGGAAAUGCUUUCAGCUUUUCACCAUUGAGUAUGAUGUUAGCUGUGGGGUUGUCAUAUAUGGCCUUUAUUAUGUUGAGGUAGGCUCCCUGUAUGCCUACUUUCUGGACAGUUUUUUUUUUUUUUAAUCAUAAAUGGGUGUGGAAUUUUAUCAGAAGUUUUUUCUGCUUCUACUGAGACGAUUGUAUGGUUUUUAUUCUUCAAUUUGUUAAUGUGGCGUAUCACACUGAUUGAUUUGCAGAUAUUGAAAAAUCCUUGCAUCCCUGGGAUGGAUCCCACUUGAUCGUGGUGUGUGAUCCUUUUAAUGUAUUGUUGGAUUCCGUUUGCUAGUGUUUUGUUGAGGAUUCUUGCAUCUGUGUUCAUCAGUGACAUUGGCCUGUCAUUGUUUUUUUGAAGUAUUUUUGUCUGGUUUUGGUAUCAGAGUGACGGUGGCCUCAUAGAAUGAGUUUGGAAAUGUUCCUUCUUCUGCAAUUUUUUGGAAUAGUUUCAGAAGGAUAGGUGUUAACUCUUUUCUAAAUGUUUGAUAGAAUUCACCUGUGAAACCAUCUGGUCCUGGACGUUUGUUUGUUGGGAGUUUUUAAACCACAGAUUCAAUUUCAGUACUUGUAAUUGGUCUUUUCAUAUUUUCUAUUUCUUCCUGGUUCAGUUUUGGGAGAUUGUACCUUUCUAAGAAUUUGUCCAUUUCUUCUAGGUUGUCCAAUUUACUGCCAUAUAGUUGCCUGUAGUAGUCUCUUGUGGUCCUUUGUAUUUCUGUGGUGUUGGUUGUAAUGUCUCCUUUUUCAUUUCUAAUUUUAUUGAUUUGAGUCCUCUCCCUUUUUUUCCUGAUGGGUCUUGCUAAAGUUUUAUUAAUUUUAUCUUUUCAAAGAACCAGCUUUUACUUUAAUUGAUCUUUUUUUAUGGUUUUCUUAGUCUCUAUUUCAUUAUUUCUGCUCUGAUCUUUAUGAUUUCUUUCCUUCUACUAACUUUGGGUUUUGUUUGUUCUUCAUUUUUAGUUGCUUUAAUGUAAGGUUAGGUUGUUUGAGAUUUUUCUUUUUCCUGAGGUAAGCUUGUAUCGCUAUAAACUUUCCUCUUAGAACUGCUUUUGCUGCGUUCCAUAGCUUUUGGAUCACAGUGCUUUCAUUUUCAUUUGUCUCUAGGUAUUUUUUGAUUUCCUCUUUGAUUUCUUCAGUGAUCCAUUGGUUGUUCACUAGCAUAUUGCGUAGCCUCCACGUGUUAGUGUUUUUUUGCAGUUUUUUUUUCUUGUAGUUGAUUUCUAAUCUUAUAGUGUUGUGGUUGGAAAAGAUGCUUGAUAUGAUUUCAAUUUUCCUAAUUUACUGAGGCUCGCUUUGUGGCCCAGCACGUGAUCUAUCCUGGAGAAUGUUCCGUGUGCACUUGAAAAGAAUGUGUAUUCUGCUGCUUUCGGACAGAACGCUCUGUAGAUAUCAGUUAAGUGCAUCUGGUCUAAUGUGUCAUUUAAGGCUUGUGUUUCCUCACUGAUUUUCUGUCUGGAUGAUCUGUCCAUUGAUGUAAGUGGGGCGCUGAAGUCCCCCACUAUUAUUUAUUUACUGUCAAUUUCUCCUUUUAUAUCUGUUAACAUUUGCCUUAUAUAUUGAGGUGCUCCUGUGUUGGGUGCGUAUAUAUUUACAAUUGUUGUAUCUUCUUGGAUCGAUCCCUUGAUCAUUACGUAGUGUCCUCCUUUGUCUCUUGUAGUAGUCUUUAUUUUCAAGUCUAUUUUAUCUGAUAUGAGUAUUGCUACUCCAGCUUUCUUUUGAUUUCCAUUUGCAUGGAAUACCUUUUUCCACCCCCUUUCAGUCUGUAUGUGUCUCUAGGUCUGACGUGGGUCUCUUGUAGACAACAUAUAUAUGGGUCUUGUUUUUGUAUCCAUUCAGCCAGUCCACGUCUUUUGGUUGGAGCAUUUAACCCGUUUACAUUUAAGGUAACUAUUAUUAUUAUUUUUUGUGGUAUGCGGGCCUCUCACUGCUGUGGCCUCUCUCGUUGCGGAGCACAGGCUCCGGACGCGCAGGCUCAGCGGCCAUGGCUCACGGGCUCAGCCGCUCGGCGGCAUGUGGGAUCCUCCUGGACCGGGGCACGAACCCGUGUCUCCUGCAUCGGCAGGCAGACCCUCAACAACUGCGCCACCAGGGAAGCCCCCAUUUAAGGUAAUUAUUGAUAUGUAUGUUCUUACUGGCAUUUUGUUAAUUGUUUUGGGUUUGUAGGUCUUUUUUCUUCCUUUCCUCUUUUGUUCUCUCUUCUUAUGAUUUGAUGACUAUCUUUAGUGUUGUGUUUGGAUUCCUUUUUCUUUUUUGUGUGUACGUCUAUUAUAGAUUUUUGGUUUGUGGUUACCAUGAGGUUCUGAUACAGCAGUGUAUAUAAAUAUGUGAUUGUUUUAAACUGUGAUCUCUUAAUUUCAAACACACUCCCAGUGUCCUGCACUUGUGCUCUCCUCCUCUCACGAUUGCUGGUGUUGAUACCAUGCUUGUGUGGAUGAUCUCCUACCUUUACUGUACGUUUGCCUUUACUGGUGAGCUUUCCCAUUUCAUCAUUUUCUUGUUUCUAGUUGUGGCCUUUUCUUUUCCACGUAGAGAAGUUCCUUCAGUGUCUGUUGUAAAGCUGGUUUGGUGGUGCUAAAUUCUUUUAGCUUUUGCUUGUCUCUAAAGCUUUUGAUUUCUCCAUCAAAUCUGAAUGAGAGCCUUGCUAGGUAGAGUAUUCUUGGUUGUAUGUCUUUUCCUUUCAUCACUUUAGAUAUAUCCUGCCACUCCCUUCUGGCCUGCAUAGUCCUGCUGAAAAAAAUCAGCUGAUAAUCUUUUGUUUUUAAAAAUAAAUUUAUUUAUUUUUGGCUGUGUUGGGUCUUUGUUGCUGUGCGCGGGCUUUCUCUAGUUGCGGCGAGUGGGGGCUACUCUUUGUUGUGGUGCACGGGCUUCUCAUUGUGGUGGCUUCUCUUGUUGCGGAGCACGGGGUCUAGGCACGCAGGCUUCAGUAGCUGUGGCUUGUGGGCUCUAGAGCGCGGGCUCAGUAGUUGUGGCACACUCCGCGGCAUGUGGGAUCUUCCUGGACCAGGGCGCGAACCUGUGUCCCCUGCAUUGGCAGGCGAUUCUUAACCACUGCACCACCAGGGAAGCCCCAGCCUUUCUUUUUUAUUGAUGAGUGACUGUGCAGCAGUUAGUUGUGACUUUGGUGCUUUUGUGUUAGGUGAGCACAAGGCCGCCUACUCCACCAUCUUGUCUUCUCUCUGUGAGGCUAUUCUUUUCCCUGUGUCUAUUCUUGCAACUUUUCUGUGAGCUUGAAAUUAUUUCUAAACACAUGUUGAAAAAAUUUCAAGGGCGUUCGGAAUCUGUGGAUAUGGAAAGGUCUUCAAGACAUAUCAUAAGCGGAAAAACCAAACACAACGCAAGGGUCAGAGUGAAAACACAAGGGGCUCCUCCUCAAAUUCCAAAGGGUCCAAGCUGAGAACAGAAAAAACCCAGAUGGGCGGGGCCCUAUCUGACUGAACUGAUACAACAACAAGGAAGGACCCCAGAGGCCUUAUGCCACCAGGUGGGAGGCUCCAGGGAAUCGUGUGUUCCGUGUGACUCCGUUUACAUGACAUCCUAGAACAGGUAAAGCUCACCUUGGACGAUGAGCCUGGGUUGCUGCUGGCUGGGGGGAAGGUUUCACUCAAGAUUUGUGCCUCAUACUGUAGGCACGUCAGACCUCAGUGCAACGAACAAUGAGCUGCUCUCCUCAUGUCCAGACUCCCUGGGACGCUGCUCCUGAGCCCUUCCUGCCACUGCCCACUGGCCGUGGAGAGCAAACAGAAUGGAAGCCAUCCCACCCUAACCAGGGGGCAGAGACCUGAGCGGCUCCCUCUGUGGGGCGAUCUUACAUCCGCCCACCAGAUGGCGCUGUGCCCUCAUGGCUGAGGCUGCCCUCCUCUGGCUUGGUCCAGCCAGACACAGAGCCUAGGACUCUGAGAUGCCUUACUGCAGGGAUGUGGGAUUUGGGGACUCCAGAAUUUGGAGCCUGUGGUGGGGUGGGGAAGCAGGAUGAGGGCACGCAGGGACGCUGGUGGGGCUCCCGCCUGUGAGAUGCCUUCACGGCAAGCUGACCCACCCACUGGGAGAAUGAGGGGUCUCCUCUCUGUCCCCCCCACCCCCUCCGCUGUGGCAUGAGAGCACAGCUUCCUGGCUCAGCCCCAGCUGCUCCUAGUGGGCUGAGUGGCUCUGGACAAGUGACUUAGCCUCUCUGAGCCUCAGCAUCCUCCUCCAUAACUGGGUCCCGAGCCUCAGGGGCUGGUGGGGCCGAGGUUGACCAGGAAGCCCAGGCUGCUGCCUGGUGGAGCGGGGGUGAGGGCCGCUCCACAGCUGAGCUUGCGCUCCAGUUCUUUUGUUACUGUUACUGCUGUUACCCUCUCAUCCACUCGGUACCGCGGGAGUGAGGCUCAGAGAAGGCAACCCUGACACCCUGGGGGGAGGGGGCAGCCUCCACCUCCCAGCACUGCCCGGGGAGUCCUCACUGACCCUCCCCUCUGCCCAUCUGGCCCCCUGCAUCUGCCGCAUUUCUGGACGGGCACCCGCAGGGUGGGUAUAUGCUCCCAUUCUGUCAGCAACCCCACUCCGGGGGGCGUGGCCCAAAAGACGCAGCUCCUUUGGAAUUCAGAGGAACUGGGAGCGCGUGACUCGUGGCUCUGUGAUCCCUCGGCUCUGCCGCUAGGGCGUUCCUGUGGUCAUUUAGGUUCUGGGCAGCCUGGCACGUGGCCUGGCCACAGCCCGCUGGCCGUGCCUGAAGGGGCAGGACGUACCAUGUGUCCCCCACGCCCCGCUGCCCCCUGCUGAUGGUGGGCCGUGGAGGGCCAGCUGCGGUCCUGCCGCAGGGACCUGCCCUGUCCCCGGGCAUCCCCCCCCGCCCGACAGUCCUGCCUCGCAUGCAGCCAUGCACACACCCCACACUGGCUGACCCUGGAGCCCAAACACCGCCGGUCAACUCCUCCGGAUUCGGGAGGAGGGUCCAACUCCCUCUGCCCUGGGAGCCUCUCCAGGUGUCAGCCAGGGGUCAGUAGGGGCCUGCAGACACCGGGAGCUCCUCUCCCGCUCAGCCCCCGCCGCUCGGGGCCUUUGUUAACAGCCUGUCUGUCUAUUCGUCUGUCAAGCUCCUUCCAUCAGGUGGCAGCAGAGAGAGAAGCAGCCCGAAGGCCCGGGACCUGUCUCCGAGGGGACGCGCACUCACCGUGCUGGCAGUGAACUCGGGCGGGUUGUCGUUCACGUCUGUCACCGUGAUGAUGGCUGUGGCCGUGUUGGACAGGCCAUAGUUCAGGUUUCCUUCCAUGUCUGUCGCUUGAACAAUGACUGUGUACUGCUGAACUUUCUAGAAGGGCAUGAGGGGGAGGAAGACAGCAUCAGUUUGGGUUUCAGUUUACAGGCUGUUUAUACUUUCAUUAAAGAAAUACAUUCCCCGGACGGACUCAGCUGGGUCCCCGUCCUGCCCGGGGGGCGCUCAGCAGGGGACCUGGCAGAAGAAAGUUCUCACUUGCGGUGGGUGGUGAGGUCUCUGCCUUCACCUCAGUGCCUGGCUUCCACGGGUGUAGAUCGAGGUAGAAAUAAGGAAAAGGGGGCCUGGAGCACACAGCACGCUGUGCUGGGUUUGCCAGACCAGGGGUGGACAGUUUGGAAAGAGGGGCGACCCCCAGAUGUGUGUCUGCAGGGACCUCAUUUCUUUAGCAUCCUCAGUGUCUAGUUCAGCCUCAGUCCAGAAAUUCAAACAGGAGAAGGGAGUCAAGCCCUCUCUCCUCUCUCUGCAGGCACACAGACACCAGCAUUACUCUGUGUCUGAACACAGUCUGGAAGGAGUGGUUAGCGUUCAGAUGCAGGUGUGAAUUUUAAAAGGCAAAAUGAUGCUUGAUGGGGACGGCGAAUUUCACUGGGCACUGAAGGGGCCGCCCAGCCCUUCUCCACCUGGACCCACUGGUGCAGUAACCCCAGGUCAGCAGAGGGGGCCUUUCCACACCCCUGUUCUGAGCAGAGGCCACAGGUGUUUCCAACUGUGACAGGUGGGGACGCUGAGUCUCACGAUGUCCCCAGUGGCACACAGCAAACCAGAGGCUGCUGGAGUGGCCGUGGGAUUCCUGAUGCGGGUUGGCGCCUCUGUGAUGGGUGAAGGCAGACGGCUCCGUGCCGCCAAGGCAGCGACGUCAGCCAGGAUGCCAGGAGGCCUCUUUCUGAAUGUGGCACACAAGGUACCCAAGGGCACGGCAGCGCCAUCCUUAACCCGCUUCCCCCCGGCAGCUGCACGGUCAGUAUCCGUCUCCACGUGUGUGGACAGCUGCAUAUGCUCAGACAUCCAUCGGGCCCUUGACAUCAGGACGUCGCUCAGGGCAGGGGUCCCUCCUUCGCGACUGCUGUGCCUCUGGACCCCAGCAGGGAGUGAGUGCCCCUCCCUCUUGCCCAUCAAAGGCGGCUGGUCAUCUCUGGUCACUGCUGCCUCAGCAGGGACAUGGCAGCGACAGGCUGGGGACGGUACCAGUGCCAGGGUGGGUAGACUGACGAACCGAACCCAAACCUCAGGUCCCCACGUGCCCUCGGCGAGGGUCCUGCCCGGAGCGUCCCGGAUCCAGCCAGGCCUGAAGGCGCCCUGUGCGUUCAAUCACAUGAGCCAGUUAGCCCUCUUUUUUGUUUGAUCCUGGAGCUCGUUUCUGUCCUCUGCCACAGAAGGGGGUCUGACUGCCCCACCUGCUACUGUCUUUCUUUUUGUGAGGGACACCAUCACAGGAAGCACAGUGGGACGACCGGGCACCUAAUGCAGGAGAGAACAGGACUCUGCUGACGUUCUCCCAGCACCACCGGCCCCGACCCUCUGGGGCACCGAUGGGGCCUGAGGGCGGACUCGGGGCCCGACUGUCGUGGCCUCAGUCGGGGUGUCGUGGUGAGCGCUCCGCCACUGAGCCUCGCAGAGUCACCCCCACAGUAUCGACAGACACCACGCCCUCCGUCCAGCUCUGCCGUAGAUUAUUCCUUACAGCUCAGGCUUUCUUGUACUUCAAUAAACACAUUUAGAAGCGUUUAUGCCGCUGCUAUAAAUGGCAAACGAGCAUCACCUUCCACAAAUAGAAAUUAGUCCUAAACACGACUGUGUAUUUUUAAAGGUCCGUCUGUGAGUGUCCAGGCCCAGUGCACGAAGCAAUGGGGGGACCCAGGCCGACGGAGCCACGCGACGCCCCCCGCAGCGGCUGCCCGUCACCUCUCGCCAUGCGGAGAGACACGCAGGCUGAGAGGGGCCCGCCCCACCCCCGGCUGGUAGGCUAACACGGAGCGGGUCCCAGGGCUCCUCUGCUAGGACCUGCCCUGGCUCUGCUCCCUGGGCACAAGCAGAGGCCUACAGUCCACCGGUCCCGGGGCAGGCGGGGCCCGCUGGCCGCACGCUUUCUCCUCUGCCGCCCCCCAAAGCCACGGUGCCCUCCGGGCCGGUGCAGGGCUGUUCCGCCUGCCCUGGCACUCUGCUCGCCCCCAUCAGCAAGGCCUUCCCUGCCUCCCUGAAUAAAAUACAAUCGCUGCCCCACGGCCGCUCCCCCUGCCGGCUGCCCGCUCUCCCGAGACUCUGCUUCACUUCUCAGCGUCAGCGCGGCCGCCCUCCACCGGCUCCUGCCCCACGAGCAGGGCUCCAGAGCCCAGGACUUCACACUCAGUGCCGUCUCCCCGGCGUCUAGAACACGCCUGCACGCUGUCCGUGGGUGGCGGGGACGAUGCCACCCUCCCUGGGCGCUGGCGGUGUCUGUGGGCACAGCUCGGCGAGGCCAGGGCCAUAGCUUGGAUCGGUCUGCCCCAGGGCAGCCGGGCACAGGACGGGGUGGGCAUCAGGGAUGCCCCUCGGGCUGACCCAUACACAGGUCUGGAGCAGAGAUGUUUCCAGAGCUCAGCAGGCGGAAGGGGUGAGUGGGCUCCUAGGGGUCAGUGCUGAAGGGAGACCGCCUCAGGGCUGGCUGCCCUUGCAGGGCUGAGGCACCCAGAGUCCCACCGCGGGGCACGCACAGGCUCUGCCAGCCCCGACGUGGAAGGCUCCGGCCAGCCUGGGGGAUCUGGAGGUGGGAGCUGGGGAUGCAGAGCAGGAGGGAGCCGGCUGGGUCUCCCACCUGACCACAAAUUCACCUUUGCCACCCAGGCCCUGCUUUGCGCGGGCUGUCACGGGGAAGAAAACACACAUGAUCAUAGCGCAGGAGCCCACAGUCCGGCGCGGGCAGCCUCACCCUAAACGGGCCAUGCACGGACCACGGCGGGCGGGCCUGGGACGGACGGCGCUUGGCUGCAGGGGCCUCGGCUGCCCGCCUCUGUUCCCACCCUGGUCUCGUCGGCCAGCAGGGAUCACAGAAGUUAUUCUUUGGGGGCAGUAAAGACAAACCCAAAUAUAAGUCCCAUCAGGAGCCUCAGAACAUGGAAAUAGGGCCUCUGUACAUAAAGUGAAGGUAAGGCUCGAGACGGGACCACCUGGGCUAGGGCGGCCCCAAUCCAGGUGACAGGUGUCCUGGGGAGAGGAGAUGAGGGCACAGGACACAGGGAGGAGGUGGCCACUCGAGAUGGGGGCAGAGACUGGAGUGGCCACAAGUGAAGGAUGCUGGCAGAAGCACAGGAGGUGUUCCACGACCCUCCAGAAGGAAGCAGCACGGCCUGCGUUUGGGAGCUCUGGCCUCCAGAGCUGGAUGCGAUUCUGUUGUCUGAUGGCGCCCAGUGGGUGGCCACCCAGGAACCGCACAACGGCCUCGGGCUCACCCUUCCCAGGCUGCUGGAGGCAUCUGAGAUACCCCCUUCCCCAUGCUGGCCUUGCUCCAAGCAGAUGGUGAGCUUCCACCUGGAGAGGCUUCCCCUGAGACCCCGUGGCCUCACCGUCUGGGCUCUGUCCAUCUCACCGCCCGGCGGGAAGGAGGCAGGCCCAGGGCUGGAAGGCUGGGAGGAGGGUCGUCACCCCAGCCUCGCCUCUGGGACCAGCCGACACUGCACGGGGCUGAGCAGGAAACAGGAGGAUUCAUGCCCACAGCAAA